UUUCCGCAGGUGAACCUGCGGAAGGAUCAUUACUGAGUGAGGGCCCUCUGGGUCCAACCUCCCACCCGUGUUUAUUAUACCUUGUUGCUUCGGUGAGCCCGCCUCACGGCCGCCGGGGGGCAUCUGCCCCCGGGCCCGCGCCCACCGAAGACACCUAGAACUCUGUAUGAAGAUUGCAGUCUGAGCAAAAACUAAAUAAGUUAAAACUUUCAACAACGGAUCUCUUGGUUCCG
rnacentral:misc_RNA from 1 species